rnacentral:ncRNA from 1 species
UUGCGCCUGCGGCGGACCCGGCACGGGCAAACAGACGACUUCGCAGGCAGUCUGCCCGUGUACGGUCUGGUACUUCCCGAAAUUAUUCGGGCUUUAACGCUUUCU